CAUCACGUGUUCGCACAGCACCACAAAACAGCGAAGAAUCCGCCUUUGGAGUCAGAAAAUCCAGUAGGAGAUUCCGGAAUCCUGCUGGGCCCCGGGGUCGGAGACUCCCUGCAGAAUCGGGGCUGAAACCUCGGGAGACCUACGGGAUCCAUCUCCGAACGCCAGAACCGGGCACGUUCCUAGUUAGGAGUCACUUGCUGAGGCCGAAGGUAAAACCUGAACAGAAGGUAAAGGCAACAGGUGCAAUUCUGAGGAAUGGAACUGAGGCAUAGAGAGUCCUGCUCCUAGCCUGGGAGGAAGGAUGAGCUGACCAGUGGCUUUUAUCUUCCCAGCACCUCUUUAAGCAUCUUAAUGAAAUUCCAAGACACUUGUUCAGAGCUGGCCUCCACAUCCCCAGCAGGCCCACCUGGACAGCAUGAAAGCCCUUCCCUGCAUCAGGGUGUCCCCGGACCCCUACCCCAGUUUCCCCAGGAGGCACUGACGCCCCUGGGCCAAUUCUGCUCUGCCCCGGGACUAGGAGCAGAUUUGCCAUGGUGACAUAAACAGGGCAAGGAGGAAGGAGAACAGCCCAGUCCAUGGACCACCCCCCCUGGUGGGAAGAAAAGACACCCUCAGUCCCUACUCAUCCCUGUGCACAAACAGCUUCUGUUAUUAAUUAUUUUUAAUUUAUUGCUUUGGAUUGAAUCCUUGUUUUUCUUCCUGUGAAAAGA